rnacentral:rRNA from 1 species
ACAGGGAUUGCCCUAGUAACGGCGAGUGAAGCGGCAACAGCUCAAAUUUGAAAUCUGGCGUCUUUGGCGUCCGAGUUGUAAUUUGCAGAGGGCGCUUUGGCAUUGGCAGCGGUCCAAGUUCCUUGGAACAGGACGUCACAGAGGGUGAGAAUCCCGUACGUGGUCGCUAGCCUUUACCGUGUAAAGCCCCUUCGACGAGUCGAGUUGUUUGGGAAUGCAGCUCUAAAUGGGAGGUAAAUUUCUUCUAAAGCUAAAUACUGGCCAGAGACCGAUAGCGCACAAGUAGAGUGAUCGAAAGAUGAAAAGCACUUUGGAAAGAGAGUUAAAAAGCACGUGAAAUUGUUGAAAGGGAAGCGCUUGCAGCCAGACUUGCCUGUAGUUGCUCAUCCGGGUUUUUACCCGGUGCACUCUUCUAUAGGCAGGCCAGCAUCAGUUUGGGCGGUUGGAUAAAGGUCUCUGUCACGUACCUCCUCUCGGGGAGAACUUAUAGGGGAGACGUAAUGCAACCAGCCUGGACUGAGGUCCGCGCAUCUGCUAGGAUGCUGGCGUAAUGGCUGUAAGCGGCCCGUCUUGAAACACGGACCAAGGAGUCUAACAUCUAUGCGAGUGUUUGGGUGUCAAGCCCGAGCGCGUAAUGAAAGUGAACGGAGGUGGGAACCUUUCGGGGUGCACCAUCGACCGAUCCUGAUGUCUUCGGAUGGAUUUGAGUAAGAGCAUAGCUGUUGGGACCCGAAAGAUGGUGAACUAUGCUUGAAUAGGGUGAAGCCAGAGGAAACUCUGGUGGAGGCUCGCAGCGGUUCUGACGUGCAAAUCGAUCGUCAAAUUUGGGCAUAGGGGCGAAAGACUAAUCGAACUAUCUAGUAGCUGGUUCCUGCCGAAGUUUCCCUCAGGAUAGCAGUAACGUUUUCAGUUUUAUGAGGUAAAGCGAAUGAUUAGAGGCCUGGGGGUUGAAACAACCUUCACCUAUUCUCAAACUUUAAAUAUGUAAGAAGUCCUUGUUACUUAAUUGAACGUGGACAGUUGAAUGUAUCGUUACUAGUGGGCCAUUUUUGGUAAGCAGAACUGGCGAUGCGGGAUGAACCGAACGCGGGGUUAAGGUGCCAGAAUAUACGCUCAUCAGACACCACAAAAGGUGUUAGUUCAUCUAGACAGCAGGACGGUGGCCAUGGAAGUCGGAAUCCGCUAAGGAGUGUGUAACAACUCACCUGCCGAAUGAACUAGCCCUGAAAAUGGAUGGCGCUCAAGCGUAUUACCCAUACCCCGCCGCUGGGGCAAGAUUUAAGCCCCAGCGAGUAGGCAGGCGUGGAGGUCCGUGACGAAGCCUG